GUCGAGCGGACCGACGGGAGCUUGCUCCCUUAGGUCAGCGGCGGACGGGUGAGUAACACGUGGGUAACCUGCCUGUAAGACUGGGAUAACUCCGGGAAACCGGGGCUAAUACCGGAUGCUUGAUUGAACCGCAUGGUUCAAUCAUAAAAGGUGGCUUUUAGCUACCACUUGCAGAUGGACCCGCGGCGCAUUAGCUAGUUGGUGAGGUAACGGCUCACCAAGGCGACGAUGCGUAGCCGACCUGAGAGGGUGAUCGGCCACACUGGGACUGAGACACGGCCCAGACUCCUACGGGAGGCAGCAGUAGGGAAUCUUCCGCAAUGGACGAAAGUCUGACGGAGCAACGCCGCGUGAGUGAUGAAGGUUUUCGGAUCGUAAAACUCUGUUGUUAGGGAAGAACAAGUACCGUUCGAAUAGGGCGGCACCUUGACGGUACCUAACCAGAAAGCCACGGCUAACUACGUGCCAGCAGCCGCGGUAAUACGUAGGUGGCAAGCGUUGUCCGGAAUUAUUGGGCGUAAAGCGCGCGCAGGCGGUUUCUUAAGUCUGAUGUGAAAGCCCCCGGCUCAACCGGGGAGGGUCAUUGGAAACUGGGGAACUUGAGUGCAGAAGAGGAGAGUGGAAUUCCACGUGUAGCGGUGAAAUGCGUAGAGAUGUGGAGGAACACCAGUGGCGAAGGCGACUCUCUGGUCUGUAACUGACGCUGAGGCGCGAAAGCGUGGGGAGCGAACAGGAUUAGAUACCCUGGUAGUCCACGCCGUAAACGAUGAGUGCUAAGUGUUAGAGGGUUUCCGCCCUUUAGUGCUGCAGCAAACGCAUUAAGCACUCCGCCUGGGGAGUACGGUCGCAAGACUGAAACUCAAAGGAAUUGACGGGGGCCCGCACAAGCGGUGGAGCAUGUGGUUUAAUUCGAAGCAACGCGAAGAACCUUACCAGGUCUUGACAUCCUCUGACAACCCUAGAGAUAGGGCUUCCCCUUCGGGGGCAGAAUGACAGGUGGUGCAUGGUUGUCGUCAGCUCGUGUCGUGAGAUGUUGGGUUAAGUCCCGCAACGAGCGCAACCCUUGAUCUUAGUUGCCAGCAUUCAGUUGGGCACUCUAAGGUGACUGCCGGUGAAAACCGGAGGAAGUGGGGAUGACGUCAAUCAUCAUGCCCUUAUGACUGGGCUACCACGUGCUAAAUGGGCAA
rnacentral:rRNA from 1 species